rnacentral:rRNA from 1 species
CGGGAAACCGGAGCUAAUACCGGAUAACAUAUUGAACCGCAUGGUUCAAUAGUGAAAGGCGGCUUUGCCGUCACUUAUAGAUGGAUCCGCGCCGUAUUAGCUAGUUGGUAAGGUAACGGCUUACCAAGGCAACGAUACGUAGCCGACCUGAGAGGGUGAUCGGCCACACUGGAACUGAGACACGGUCCAG